AUGGAGCCGACGGAGGACAUCGAGUUCCUCUGGAAAUGGCGCAAGUACCUGCUGCUGCUCGCCACGCUGGUUGCCAGCGUCACCUACGGCGUCGGUCUCAACCCGCCCGGCGGCGUGUGGUCCCAGGACCAGGAGGGGGGCACCAGCAACGCCCGGGAGCACCGCGGCGGCGCUGUCCAGCCACCGGCCCCGCCGCUCCUGCCCCCGGCGCCAGCGCCAGCGGUGUACCCGAACCGCGUGGGUGACCCGGUGCUCGUGUCGACCUACAUGCGCCGCUACACUGCCUUCUUCUACUGCAACGCCGCGGCCUUCGUUGCGUCUCUGGUCAUCAUCAUGUUCUUGCUGGACCGGCGCAUCAGCGGCAACCGCGUCGGCCUCACUGUGCUCCGCUCCGCCAUGCUGCUCGACCUGCUCGCCCUCAUGGCCGCCUUCGCCGCAGGGAGCUGCCGCGACGUCGUCGCGUCCAUCUACGUCUCCGCGCUCUUCGCCGUCGUCUUCGUCUACGUCGCCCUCCACGUCGGCGUGGCCUCCGCCUCCUCCGGUUCCAGCCUGCUACUUCUACUCGGGAGGAAGGCGCCCGACUCGUGUCCCUGGGACGCGGAGGAGAACAAGUACAUCAGGGAGCGCCGCAAAUUCCUCUUCCUCCUGGCCACCUUCGCGACGUCGCUGACGUACGCGGCGGGGCUGGCGCCGCCGGGAGGCUUCUGGACCAAGACCGUGGCCGGACACCGCGCCGGCGCCCCGCUGCUCCACGACGGGCGCUACAAGAUCCGCUACCACGCCUUCUUCUACGCCAACGCCACCUCCUUCGUCGCCUCCCUCGCCAUCAUCAUGCUGCUCAUGAGCAGGACGCUGAGGGACCGCCUCGCCCGGUCUUACGCGCUGCUUGUGUGCGUCCUGGUUGAGCUGCUCGGCCUCAUGGCCGCCUACGCCGCCGGCAGCUGCAGAUGGCCCACCACGACCGUGUACGUCUUCUCCCUUGUCGGCGCCGUGCUCCUGUACAUUCUGCUGCAGAUGGCCAUCGCCGUGUUCGCCAUGGACAAGUUCAAGAAAUGGCGAGAAGCCAUCUGUAAUAUAGUGACGACGUGCGCAGGCAAAUCGGGGCCAAAGCAAGAGAUAGUGAAGCAAAAACGAGACAAGAAAACCAACUUCGACAAUGGUCCAGAAGACAAGGUGGAGGCGUCGCGGUCCCUUGUUCUGCUGCUGGCGACCCUGGCGGCGACGGUGACCUACCAGGCUGGGCUGAGCCCGCCCGGCGGCGUCUGGCCGGAAGACGACGACCAAGGCCGCACGCAUCACGUCCCGGGGAACCCAGUUCUCCACGACAUGCACUCCAAGAGGUACAAGGCGUUCUACCACUGCAACACGGCGGCAUUCGUGGCGUCGGUGGUCGUUAUCAUCAUCGUCCAGAGCAAGCAGCUGAGCGCCGUCGGACGUGCCGCACUCAAGACGGCCAUGAUACUGGAUCUGUUCAGCCUCAUGGGCGCCUACGUUGCCGGGAGCUGCCGGGACAGAAUCACCACCGUCUACGUCGCCGCCCUCGCCGUCGCCGUCUUUGUCUACUCCAUCGCCAAAGUCGUGGCGUUCACAGCUCAGGGGCGCCAGACCAUGCCGAUUGAAUGUAUGAAGCGCUUGUCGGGGAGGCUUUCACGGUUUCUCAAACUCUCCUCCGACGAGACGCCCCGGCCAGGAGGAGCAGAACCAGCGACACAAGGUCUCCCUGCCGUUGACGCUGGCCACCAUCCGGACGAGCCGUCCUCGCAAGGAGGAGAAGACACACCUCAAGUUCAUGGUCCUGCUAGCCUCCUUACCGACGACCUUUCUAGCAUUCAAGAAACUCAGCCAGGCUCUGCGUCCGAAGGAAAGCAUACUCUUGAAGAAAACCUCGAGAACAAGCAUGUUAUUCUUGAGAAAAAAAGCCUCGAGAGGAAGCGCAAGUUCUUGCUACAGCUCGCCAUCCUCGCCGCUACCGUCACGUACCAGACCGGGCUGAACCCGCCGGGUGGGUUUUGGACGGAAAGCAAUGGGGUCAGGAAGGUCACCGCCGGUGACCCAAUCCUGCUCGACUACUACGGGGUCAGGUACCAAGUGUUCUUCUACUGUAACGCGACGGGGUUCAUGGCUUCCGUUGCCGUCAUUCUCCUCUUGGUGAACCAGACGCUGUCGAAGCAGGGCAUUCGGAGCAACGCGCUCCACGUCUGCGUCAUGAUCGGGCUUCUGGGCCUCAUGGGUGCCUAUGCCACCGGCAGCUGCCGAAAGUUGCGCACCUCCAUCUAUGUCUUUGCGCUCGUCGCUGCGGUGAUCGCCUUCCUCAUCCUGGAGAUCCUGUUCUACGUGUACGCGGACCGCCGCAAUCUAUCAGAGCAUCCAUGGGUUCCACAGUGCCUGCAAAGGCUGCUCAAGCCACUAUCUUCGGCGCCGAUGGGGCCGGAUGAUGAGAACGACAAGGACAAGGUCUCUGCCUCCAAGCGACUGCAGCAGAAACGACGCCGCGUGAAGUACGAGAAACGUAAGUCCCUGAUGCUGCUUGGCAUCCUUGCGGCGAGCGUGACGUACCAAGCAGGUCUCGCGCCUCCCGGCGGCACGUGGGGCGACGACGAUAACGCGUCAUCACCGUCCCCCUCGCCGUCGCCCUCGUCGCUAUCGCCAUCGCCGUCGGCUGCGUACAUCUCCGUUGCCGGCAACCCGAUCCUACUCAACACCAACGCGGAACGGUACCAGGCCUUUUUCUACUGCAAUGCAACGUCAUUCGUCGCCUCCGUCGUGGUCAUCAUGCUGGUGCUGCUGCGCACCGUGAAGAAGAAGCGCGGGGCACCGCUCUGGGCGAUGCAGACCGCCGUGGUGCUGGACUUGUUGGGCUUGCUGGGUGCCUACGCCGCUGGCAGCUGCAGAGACUGGGAGACGUCCGGGUACGUAAUCGCGCUCGUCGCCGUGGUGGUCGUCUUCAUCACAAUCUACGUGUUGCUAUCAUUCGACGCGGUGCUGGGGAAGGCUAAGCAGCUCACUGUGUGGAAGUACUUUUCUGACAAGAAAGAAAAGUUGUUGAAAUACUUGGGAAGAAGCAAUGAUCCUCCUGGGUGGCCGGUGCCAGUCACUAGGGUGUAA
rnacentral:rRNA from 1 species